rnacentral:ncRNA from 1 species
AACUUUGGGGGUGUUCUAAUAACAGAACUGAGAAAUACCCUUUGAACCUGAAUAAGUUAACACUUACGUAGGGAAAAGU